rnacentral:rRNA from 1 species
GAUGAACGCUGGCGGCGUGCCUAAUACAUGCAAGUCGAGCGAACAGACGAGGAGCUUGCUCCUCUGACGUUAGCGGCGGACGGGUGAGUAACACGUGGAUAACCUACCUAUAAGACUGGGAUAACUUCGGGAAACCGGAGCUAAUACCGGAUAACAUGUUGAACCGCAUGGUUCAACAGUGAAAGACGGUCUUGCUGUCACUUAUAGAUGGAUCCGCGCCGCAUUAGCUAGUUGGUAAGGUAACGGCUUACCAAGGCAACGAUGCGUAGCCGACCUGAGAGGGUGAUCAGCCACACUGGAACUGAGACACGGUCCAGACUCCUACGGGAGGCAGCAGUAGGGAAUAUUCCGCAAUGGGCGAAAGCCUGACGGAACAACGCCGCGUGAGUGAAGAAGGUCUUCGGAUCGUAAAACUCUGUUAUUAGGGAAGAACAAAUGUGUAAGUAACUAUGCACGUCUUGACGGUACCUAAUCAGAAAGCAACGGCUAACUACGUG